GAGGACCCCUGGCUUUAACAACAGAAAGACCCCAGUUACUGGAUUGGGAUCCACCCUCACUCAAUAUGGCCUCAGCUUAAUGAAAGACAUCUGCAGAGACCCUAUUUCUACUAAAAGCCACAUUCUGAGACUUCUCGUGGGCAGCCAUCCCCAGUGCAGGACAUGCUAUUGACUUCCAUGAGACAAACACCUACUUGGAAAUCAGGUUUUUUCUGUACCUUUUGAAGGAGCAGGAAUUUCCCAGCAUUUCCUGGACAAAGACGGAGGCCACAUUCGCUGCAUCCUUUCCAGCAAGAUGUCAUUCUGAGAUUUUUGUCAUUCCUGGGCGUUAUGAGGACUGCCAAGGGACACAAUUCCAUGGGAGGAAAGUUUUCUUCUAAGCUGCAAGCCAGCUCUGGCUUCUGGAGUUUCUCCUUAGGAUUGCAAGACAGUAGUUCCCUGUCCUUUAGGUCUUCUCCAGAAAUACCUUAAAAUAGCAAAUAAAAUAAGAUAUAAGCAAA
ensembl:lncRNA SCAT1 S-phase cancer associated transcript 1